AUUGAACGCUGGCGGCAGGCCUAACACAUGCAAGUCGAACGAGUGGAGGACGGGAGAGAAAUGUCUGGGAAACUGCCCGAUGGAGGGGGAUAACUACUGGAAACGGUAGCUAAUACCGCAUACCAUCGGAUGUGCCCAGUUGGGAUUAGCUAGUAGGUGAGGGAACGGCUCACCUAGGCGACGAUCCCUCGCUGGUCUGACAGGAUGACCAGCCACACUGGCACUGCGACACGGCCCCGACUCCGGCGGGAGGCAGCAUUGGGGAAUAUUGCGCAUUGGGCGCAAGCCUGAUGCAGCCAUGCCGCGUGUAUGAAGAAGGCCUUCGGGUUGUAAAGUACUUUCAGCGAGGGGGCGUUACUCGGAGAAGAAGCACCGGCUAACUCCGUGCCAGCAGCCGCGGUAAUAG
rnacentral:rRNA from 1 species